rnacentral:lncRNA from 1 species
ACCCUGAACGAUGUUGGCCUUGCCCAGCUGUCCAGCCCUCCUCCUCUCCAGACACACUCACUGUGCCCAUCGGACCCGUGCUUCCUUGGGGCAGCCAACCACUUUGUCCUCUGUCCUCCUCCUGCCACUAGGCCCAGUCUAGUUUUUAAGAGUCCUGGCCCUCCACUGAUCUUGUGUCCUCCCCGGCCAACACUGCCACCUCCCCGAACACAGACACACUGACAUAGGACCCAACAUCGGGAAAGUCCCUGGUUUCCACUGGGGGAGGAGAGAAGGAAGAUUCAGUGUUGGCAAAGUACAUUGAACGCUUUCGUCACGGAAGGCCGCAGAGUCGAGAGGAACGUCUGCAAACGUCGGCAAUGGUGGGAGAGGGCCAGCAGCCUUUCUGGUGGCUUUCCUCCUCCUCUCUACCCUCCAGUUCUACACCCACUCAAACCACUGACAAAGGCCUUUCCCUUAGAAAAGACUCAGCCACCACCCUCAGUCCAGUUGGGUAGUUUUGGCAUGGCACCACCCUCUCCCCAUGCAGGGGACUCCUUGAUCUUAGUGCCAUGGGCCUGUCAGACUCCUCUCACGGUGACCUUGGAGACUCUGAGAUACUGCAUCUACAGGAGAAGGCCAGUAGACUGCUACACAGAAGUGAGCACUCACUCAGUAGUGGAUCUAUCCUCAUCAGCUCUGAGGGCCUGGGCUGCUCCAAUUUGUCCUCCUCUGUGAGCAUAGAUGAGCCAGUCCAAAGGCCUAUAAUUACCAGACCUAUCAACUCAACCACUGUUGUGGGGAACCUAAGCUCAGCAGACCUCUAUGCUGGAACCGUGCCCAAACUGUCUGUGGUUGGUCCCCCUGAUCCAUGCACACGCCCAGAGGAGGACAUCCUGUUUCAGUGGCGCCUGAGGAGGAAGAUGGAGCAGGCCAGUCGGUGGUCACACCCACAUCAGGUUCACACCCUUCAUCAGCACUCUUUCAGCUGGCAGUCACACAAGGUACAGCGGAAUCCCCACCCUGCAUAUUCCACUCAUAUAGUUACCCGCUCCUUCACCCCAGCCCCCCAGGAGACCAGUGUCCCCCAUGGACCAUUCUCCCCUGCAGCUGCCCUCCCCAUCUCCAGCCCCACCGUCUCCAAGUUGCAGCCGGAUACCCCGGUCUGUCCCCACAUGCACCACCUCUGUGACAUCCUUCCUUAUACCGCUCAGCCCCUCUCCCCUCCACCCAGCCACCAGAGGAGCCCAAAGAGGAGGUCUCUAGGGCCGACCUGA